rnacentral:rRNA from 1 species
CCCUUAGAUGUUCUGGGCUGCACGCGUGCUACAAUGGCGCUUGCAACAAGUCUUGCCAACCCGAUAGGGUGAGCGGAUCUUUGAAGAGGCGUCGUGAUCGGGACAGUUGAUUGCAAUUAUUCGACUCGAACGAGGAAUUCCUUGUAAUCGCGAUUCAUCAUAUCGCGCUGAAUACGUCCCUGCCCUUUGUACACACCGCCCGUCGCUCCUACCGAUUGAGCGAUCCGGUGAAUGUUUUGGACUGGCGUCAGAAGCGGUUCGCUCCUGACACUACGAAAUUUUGUAAACCUUAUCGCUUAGAGGAAGGAAAAGUCGGAACA